GACGAACGCUGACGGCGUGCUUUAGACAUGCAAGUCGAACGAGAAAGCCCUUCGGGGUUAGUAAAGUGGCGAACGGGUGAGUAACACGUGGGCAAUCUGCCCUUCGUAGGGGGACAGCCGGGGGAAACCCCGGCUAAUACCCCGUAAGCUUGUCGGGUCGCACGGCCCGACAAGGGGAGGUAGCUUCGCCCAUCCGGCGAGGGAGGAGCCAGCGGUUCAUUAGCUAGUUGGUGAGGUAACGGCUCACCAGGGCUACGAUGUAUAGCUGGUAUGAGAGGAUGAUCAGCCACACUGGGACUGAGACACGGCCCAGACUCCUACGGGAGGCAGCAGUCGGGAAUCUUGCACAAUGGGCGAAAGCUGAUGCAGCAACGCCGUGUGAGCGACGAAGGCCUUAGGGUCGUAAAGCUCUGUUGUUAGGGACGAAGGGCGAAGGGUUAAUAGCCCUUAGCCUGACGGUACCUUUCGAGGAAGCCCCGGCUAACUACGUGCCAGCCGCCGCAGUAA
rnacentral:rRNA from 1 species